rnacentral:rRNA from 1 species
AUUGAACGCUGGCGGCAUGCUUUACACAUGCAAGUCGAACGGUAACAGGUUAAGCUGACGAGUGGCGAACGGGUGAGUAAUGCAUCGGAACGUGCCCGGUCGUGGGGGAUAACGCAGCGAAAGCUGCGCCAAUACCGCAUACGAUCUGAGGAUGAAAGCGGGGGACCGUAAGGCCUCGCGCGAUCGGAGCGGCCGAUGUCAGAUUAGGUAGUUGGUGGGGUAAAGGCUCACCAAGCCAACGAUCUGUAGCUGGUCUGAGAGGACGACCAGCCACACUGGGACUGAGACACGGCCCAGAAUCCUACGGGAGGCAGCAGUGGGGAAUUUUGGACAAUGGGCGAAAGCCUGAUCCAGCAAUGCCGCGUGCAGGAAGAAGGCCUUCGGGUUGUAAACUGCUUUUGUACGGAGCGAAAAGGUCUCCUCUAGUACAGGGGGCUCAUGACGGUACCGUAAGAAUAAGCACCGGCUAACUACGUGCCAGCAGCCGCCGUAA